rnacentral:rRNA from 1 species
CCUACGGGUGGCAGCAGUGGGGAAUAUUGGACAAUGGGCGAAAGCCUGAUCCAGCCAUGCCGCGUGUGUGAAGAAGGCCUUCGGGUUGUAAAGCACUUUCAGUGGGGAAGAAAGCCUUGGGGCUAAUACCCUCGAGGAAGGACAUCACCCACAGAAGAAGCACCGGCUAACUCCGUGCCAGCAGCCGCGGUAAUACGGGAGGGUGCGAGCGUUAAUCGGAAUUACUGGGCGUAAAGCGCGCGUAGGCGGUCUGAUAAGCCGGUUGUGAAAGCCCCGGGCUCAACCUGGGAACGGCAUCCGGAACUGUCAGGCUAGAGUGCAGGAGAGGAAGGUAGAAUUCCCGGUGUAGCGGUGAAAUGCGUAGAGAUCGGGAGGAAUACCAGUGGCGAAGGCGGCCUUCUGGACUGACACUGACGCUGAGGUGCGAAAGCGUGGGUAGCAAACAGGAUUAGAUACCCGAGUAGUC